GACGAACGCUGGCGGCGUGCUUAACACAUGCAAGUCGAACGGAAAGGCCCUGCUUUUGUGGGGUGCUCGAGUGGCGAACGGGUGAGUAACACGUGAGUAACCUGCCCUUGACUUUGGGAUAACUUCAGGAAACUGGGGCUCAUACCGGAUAGGAGCUCCUGCUGCAUGGUGGGGGUUGGAAAGUUUCGGCGGUUGGGGCUGGACUCGCGGCUUAUCAGCUUGUUGGUGGGGUAGUGGCUUACCAAGGCUUUGACGGGUAGCCGGCCUGGGAGGGGGACCGGCCACAAUGGGACUGAGGUAGGGCCCAGACUCCAACGGGAGGCAGCAGUGGGGAGUAUUGCACAAUGGGCGGGAGCCUGAUACAGCAACGCCGCGUGCGGGAUGACGGCCUUCGGGUUGUAAACCGCUUUCGCCGGUGACGAAGCGUGAGUGACGGUAAUGGGUAAAGAAGCACCGGCUAACUACGUG
rnacentral:rRNA from 1 species